rnacentral:lncRNA from 1 species
CCCAGAAGUAUGGAACACACACAUCACCCAGAUUCUGACUUCUAAUACCAGUCUCUAAAGAAAGGAACAAGACAUCCUGGCAGAUACUGUGGAUUCUAGGGCUGGGCAGGGCAUAUAGAAGAAGAGCCUGGCAUGUCUCAUAGUGCCAGAAUGAACAGAGCUGGGACCAGCGAGGUGAAGGGUCUCACUGAGGUCAUUCAACUACAAAAUGCCAGAGCAGGAGUGGAGGCCAAGUCCCCAGGCUCCAAUUCAUGACCUCAAGGUGAAAAGAUCUCCCGAGACAGAUAACAGUUCUCAUUUAAGCAAGAAUUAAAAAUAAAACCUCUCAG